rnacentral:rRNA from 1 species
AGCGGCGGAUGGGUGAGCAACACGUGGGGAACCUGCCCCUAAGUCUGGGAUACCAUUUGGAAACAGGUGCUAAUACCGGAUAAUAAAGCAGAUCGCAUGAUCAGCUUUUGAAAGGCGGCGUAAGCUGUCGCUAAGGGAUGGCCCCGCGGUGCAUUAGCUAGUUGGUAAGGUAACGGCUUACCAAGGCGACGAUGCAUAGCCGAGUUGAGAGACUGAUCGGCCACAUUGGGACUGAGACACGGCCCAAACUCCUACGGGAGGCAGCAGUAGGGAAUCUUCCACAAUGGACGCAAGUCUGAUGGAGCAACGCCGCGUGAGUGAAGAAGGUUUUCGGAUCGUAAAGCUCUGUUGUUGGUGAAGAAGGAUAGAGGUAGUAACUGGCCUUUAUUUGACGGUAAUCAACCAGAAAGUCACGGCUAACUACGUGCCAGCAGCCGCGGUAAUACGUAGGUGGCAAGCGUUGUCCGGAUUUAUUGGGCGUAAAGCGAGCGCAGGCGGAAAAAUAAGUCUAAUGUGAAAGCCCUCGGCUUAACCGAGGAACUGCAUCGGAAACUGUUUUUCUUGAGUGCAGAAGAGGAGAGUGGAACUCCAUGUGUAGCGGUGGAAUGCGUAGAUAUAUGGAAGAACACCAGUGGCGAAGGCGGCUCUCUGGUCUGCAACUGACGCUGAGGCUCGAAAGCAUGGGUAGCGAACAGGAUUAGAUACCCUGAUAGUCCAUGCCGUAAACGAUGAGUGCUAAGUGU